UGGACGAUUCAUCUGUUCUUAGCCCAAUCUCUCUUCUCACCAUAGCCAUUCUCUUGUUCAUUCUCAACCUCAUGAUGAUAAUCCAAGACUUCUCUUCGUAUUUUCCCUAUCCUCUCCAUCUCUUCUUCUAUAAUGCCUACAUUCUUUUUGCGUCAACAAGAAACAAGAAGCAAAAUAUGACUGAGCUCCUGAUCAUAAAGAAAGGUUUUGUCCCUACUCGAGUAGAUAACAAGAUGUCAGUGGAAGAAGUCAAGGCGAUGAUCGAUGACUCGGAAGCUUUAUACGAACGUUUGAUAGAAGAAGGAGAAGAAUACUUGCUUGAGAAGAGUGAGAUGAUGGGUAAGGAGAUAGUGAAGAGGGCGUUUAGAUUGUUUGAUGAGAAUCAAGAUGGGUUUAUAGAUGAAAAUGAGUUGAAACAUGUUUUGUGUUUAUUAGGAUACGAUGAGUGUACAAAGAUGGAGUGUAGGAGGAUGAUUAAGGUUUUUGAUGAGAAUAGAGAUGGGAAAAUUGAUUUUUAUGAGUUCGUGAAGCUCAUAGAUAAGAGUUUUUCUUGAAACAUAUACCGAAACAAUAGUUAAUUAUGUUGGUGACUAAUUGAGGACAGAGGACCUGUCUAAUAUACUUCUUUUUUUUUUGUCGUCGUCGUCUAAUUAACUUAUUUUUGUUUAUAUAUUCAUUGCUCUGUAAAUUUUGUAGAAAGUGAUAAUACAAGAGGAAUUAUUCAGGUAUCCGACUACACAAGGAGUCUUAAGCUUCAUAAGAGUUAUAAUAACGAAUAUUCAACAUGUAACAACGUAAAUUAAAAUUCGUGAUGACUUUGUAUGGUUUUGAAUAUUCAUUAUCAUGAAUUUGGUUUUGGAUGCCGUCUUAUUUUCUAUAUUAUGAAGAAAUAGUCGUAAUCUGUAUGUAUAACAAAAAGUAUACCAAAAAACCCUCAAAUUUUCAUUGUAUAUCAUUCAAAUUAAUAACGGCCCAUAAAAUAAAAUCAUUCCAAUUAAUAAUAUGUCAUAAACCAUGUGAACUCUGGUUCAGUUUCAUCGGUUUAAUAUUUUUAACAUUUUUUUGUUUGUUUUGUCAACACUUUUUUUUUGUCAACUAAGAAGGAAAAUACUUCCUAUCUUAGAUGAUUAUGAGAGAAUCGGACUUUGGAUUUAGGUUCCACUUUGCCAAUUCAUUUCCAUUUGAUUGGUUGAGGAGAAUUCUCAGUCCAGUAUAAUAUUUUUAUCCAAAUUAAUGACACGUGAUAUGAAAAUGGACCCCACACUAUCUUAUUCCGACCAAUCUCAAAGAACUUAAAAAUCCUCAAAGAUACGCUACCAAGAUAAACCGAUAAGCCUUUACCUCACCUCAACUCCAUCUCAUCCGUAUAAUCAACCACGUCAUAUGAUCCAACGGUGGAUACUCAGUCACUAAACCACAGCCACAAACAAAGAAAAAAAAUCUCAAAUAAACUUACAAAUCCCUCAAAGUCUAUUUCUUCACAAUCAUCUCCAAACACAUCUUUCAAUCUCUUGAUUCAAACAUUUCUCUUCUGUUUUCUCGGGUCGGAUCAGGUGUAGGGAACAUGGCGACUGUCACUACUCAAGCCUCGGCCUCGAUCUUCCGACCAUGUACCUCGAAGCCAAGGUUCCUUACCGGUUCUUCCGGUAGAUUGAACCGCGAGUUGUCGUUUAAAUCGAUCGGCUCAUCCUCAAAAACGGCGUCGUUCAAGGUUGAAGCUAAGAAAGGAGAAUGGUUGCCCGGUUUGGCAUCCCCUGGUUAUCUCAACGGCAGGUAAUUGUUUCACAAACUACAUUCAAUUUUGGUUUAACACAACUGAACUGAUUGCAUAAUUGGUUAGUUUUCGAUACCGGUUUAGCUAAUGUGUAUGCUGUAUAAUUGUAUAAUUUACAAAAAUCCGACCAACUAAAUAAAUCAAUUUGGUUUGGUUAAUUUAGACCGGUUCUCUCCGGUAUUACCGGUUUAGCUAAUGGUCACUCUCAUUUGCAAAUUGUAGUCUUGCUGGUUAGUUUUCGCUACCGGUUUAGUUAAUGUGUAUGCUGUUUUAUUGUAAUUUACAAAAAUCCGACCAAAUGAAUAAUCAAUUUUGGUUUGGUUAAUUUAGAACCGGUUCUGUCCGGUAUUACCGGUUUAGCUAAUUGUCACUCUCUUUUGCAAAUUGUAGUCUUGCUGGUGACAAUGGGUUUGACCCCUUGGGACUAGCAGAGGAUCCAGAGAACUUGAAAUGGUUCGUCCAAGCAGAGCUUGUCAACGGACGGUGGGCUAUGCUCGGCGUCGCAGGGAUGCUUUUGCCGGAAGUUUUCACCAAGAUCGGUGAGUCACCAUUAUAACAUGAAACCAUUUGUAACAUUUCUUUCAAGAACUUAACACAGAGAUUUUCUUGAAACUGGUCACUGUUGGUAGGAAUCAUUAACGUUCCGGAGUGGUACGACGCUGGAAAAGAGCAGUACUUUGCAUCAUCGUCGACAUUGUUCGUGAUCGAAUUUAUCUUGUUCCAUUACGUUGAGAUCAGACGGUGGCAAGACAUCAAGAACCCAGGAAGUGUGAACCAAGACCCAAUCUUCAAGCAAUACAGCUUGCCUCCAAAUGAAGUUGGUUAUCCAGGAGGAAUCUUUAACCCUCUUAACUUUGCUCCCACGGUCGAGGCCAAGGAGAAAGAGCUCGCAAACGGUAAAGCUAAUCCUAUUUCACGCAAGAAAGUGAUAGUUAAGAGUUAAAGAGGCUAAAGACCGUUUUCUGUUGUUGUUUGUUGUUGUUGCAGGGAGGUUGGCAAUGUUGGCAUUCUUAGGGUUUGUGAUUCAACACAAUGUUACUGGAAAGGGACCAUUUGAGAAUCUGUUGCAGCACUUGUCUGACCCAUGGCACAACACUAUUGUCCAAACCCUUAGCUGAAGAUUUUAAGAC
rnacentral:lncRNA from 1 species